rnacentral:rRNA from 1 species
UUUCUUAGCUUAGUGGCGAACGGGUGAGUAACGCGUGAGUAACCUGCCCUGGAGUGGGGGACAACAGUUGGAAACGACUGCUAAUACCGCAUAAGCCCACGAUCCGGCAUCGGAUUGAGGGAAAAGGAUUUAUUCGCUUCAGGAUGGACUCGCGUCCAAUUAGCUAGUUGGUGAGGUAACGGCCCACCAAGGCGACGAUAGGUAGCCGGACUGAGAGGUUGAACGGCCACAUUGGGACUGAGACACGGCCCAGACUCCUACGGGAGGCAGCAGUGGGGGAUAUUGCACAAUGGGGGAAACCCUGAUGCAGCGACGCCGCGUGGAGGAAGAAGGUUUUCGGAUUGUAAACUCCUGUCGUUAGGGACGAUAAUGACGGUACCUAACAAGAAAGCACCGGCUAACUACGUGCCAGCAGCCGCGGUAAAACGUAGGGUGCAAGCGUUGUCCGGAAUUACUGGGUGUAAAGGGAGCGCAGGCGGACCGGCAAGUUGGAAGUGAAAACUAUGGGCUCAACCCAUAAAUUGCUUUCAAAACUGCUGGCCUUGAGUAGUGCAGAGGUAGGUGGAAUUCCCGGUGUAGCGGUGGAAUGCGUAGAUAUCGGGAGGAACACCAGUGGCGAAGGCGACCUACUGGGCACCAACUGACGCUGAGGCUCGAAAGCAUGGGUAGCAAACAGGAUUAGAUACCCUGGUAGUCCAUGCCGUAAACGAUGAUUACUAGGUGUUGGAGGAUUGACCCCUUCAGUGCCGCAGUUAACACAAUAAGUAAUCCACCUGGGGAGUACGACCGCAAGGUUGAAACUCAAAGGAA